rnacentral:misc_RNA from 1 species
CUGCCCUCAGCCGUGCGCUGGUGUUGGGGGCCAGCGGCCCCUGAAAGAAAUGGCUGGCGGCGCGCGGCCUCUGCGCAGCAAUCUCGCUUGGAGAACCUCGCUUAGGGGCGCGGCGCCACGCAACCA